AAUAUUGGACAAUGGGGGCAAAGCUGACCCAGCCAUGCCGCGUGUGUGCAGAAGGUAUUCGGAUUGUAAAGCACUUUAAGUAAGGAGGAAGGGCUUUAAGUAAAUACCCUGAAGUUUCGACGUAUCCAACAGAAUCAGCACCGGACAAGCCUGUGCCAGCAGCCGCGGUAAUACCGAGGUUGCAAGCGUUAAUCGGUAUUAUUGGGCGUAAAGCUGGCAUAGGUGGUUCAGUAAGGUGGGUUUGAAACCACCGGGCUUAACCUGGGAACUGCGUUCAUAACUGCUGAGCUAGAGUACGGUAGAAGGUAAUGGAAUUGCCUGUUUAACGGUGAAAUGCGUAGGAAUAGGAAGGAGCACCAGUGGCGAAGGGGACUACCUGGACUGAUUCUGACACUGAGGUUCUAAAGCGUUGGGAGCAA
rnacentral:rRNA from 1 species